AUUGAACGCUGGCGGCAUGCUUUACACAUGCAAGUCGAACGGCAGCACAGGGAGCUUGCUCCUGGGUGGCGAGUGGCGAACGGGUGAGUAAUGUAUCGGAACGUGCCUGGUAGUUGGGGAUAACUACUCGAAAGAGUGGCUAAUACCGCAUGAGAUCUUUGGAUGAAAGCGGGGGACCUUCGGGCCUCGUGCUACUGGAGCGGCCGAUAUCAGAUUAGGUUGUUGGUGGGGUAAAGGCCUACCAAGCCUGCGAUCUGUAGCUGGUCUGAGAGGACGACCAGCCACACUGGGACUGAGACACGGCCCAGACUCCUACGGGAGGCAGCAGUGGGGAAUUUUGGACAAUGGGCGCAAGCCUGGUCCAGCAAUGCCGCGUGCAGGACGAAGGCCUUCGGGUUGUAAACUGCUUUUGUACAGAACGAAAAGUCUCUGGCUAAUAUCUAGCGAUCAUGACGGUACUGUAAGAAUAAGCACCGGCUAACUACGUG
rnacentral:rRNA from 1 species